rnacentral:rRNA from 1 species
UGCAGUCGAGCGCGAUCGAAGGGAGCUUCGCUCCUAGGAUUCGACGGCGGACGGGUGAGUAAUGCCUAGGAAUCUGCCUGGUAGGGGGGGAUGACGUCCGGAAGCGGGCGCUCAUACCGGGGACGUCCUGUCGGAGAAAGUGGGGGAUCUUCGGACCUCACGCUAUCAGAUGAGCCUAGGUCGGAUUAGCUAGUUGGUGGGGUAAAGGCCUACAGGGGGAACCAUCCGUAACUGGUCUGAGAGGAUGAUCAACUCCACUGGGAGGGACCACGGGGAAUACUCCACAAUGGGGCAAAGCUGGGGAAUAUUGGACAUGUGCGAAAGCCUGAUCCAGCCAUGCCGCGUGUGUGAAGAAGGUCUUCUGAUUGCGGUAUCAUUUAAAAUAAGAGGAAGGGCACUUCGUGCCUACCUUGCUGUUUUGACGUUAGGGGCUAACUAUGCACCGGCUUACUUCGUGCCAGGCGCCCCGGUGCUAACUUUGGUGCCAGGGGUUAAUCUCAUUAACUGGGCGUAAAGCGCGCGUAUGUGGUUCAGCAAUUUUGAUGUGAGUUCCCCGGGCUCAACCUGGGAACUGCAUCGUAAACUACUGAGCUAGAGUACGGUACAGGGUGGUGGAAUUUCCUGUGUAGC